rnacentral:rRNA from 1 species
AGCGAACGCUGGCGGCAGGCCUAACACAUGCAAGUCGAACGAAGUCUUCGGACUUAGUGGCGGACGGGUGAGUAACACGUGGGAACGUACCUUUUGGUUCGGAACAACUCAGGGAAACUUGAGCUAAUACCGGAUGAGCCCUUAGGGGGAAAGAUUUAUCGCCGAAAGAGCGGCCCGCGUUAGAUUAGCUAGUUGGUGAGGUAAAGGCUCACCAAGGCUACGAUCUAUAGCUGGUCUGAGAGGAUGAUCAGCCACACUGGGACUGAGACACGGCCCAGACUCCUACGGGAGGCAGCAGUGGGGAAUCUUGCGCAAUGGGCGAAAGCCUGACGCUGCCAUGCCGCGUGAAUGAUGAAGGUCUUAGGAUUGUAAAAUUCUUUUACCAGGGACGAUAAUGACGGUACCUGGAGAAAAAGCCCCGGCUAACUUCGUGCCAGCCGCCGCGAUAAAAC